GAUGAACGCUGGCGGCGUGCCUAAUACAUGCAAGUCGAGCGAACGGACGAGAAGCUUGCUUCUCUGAUGUUAGCGGCGGACGGGUGAGUAACACGUGGAUAACCUACCUAUAAGACUGGGAUAACUUCGGGAAACCGGAGCUAAUACCGGAAAAUAUUUUGAACCGCAUGGUUCAAAAGUGAAAGACGGUCUUGCUGGCACUUAUAGAUGGAUCCGCGCUGCAUUAGCUAGUUGGUAAGGUAACGGCUUACCAAGGCAACGAUGCAUAGCCGACCUGAGAGGGUGACCGGCCACACUGGAACUGAGACACGGUCCAGACUCCUACGGGAGGCAGCAGUAGGGAAUCUUCCGCAAUGGGCGAAAGCCUGACGGAGCAACGCCGCGUGAGUGAUGAAGGUCUUCGGAUCGUAAAACUCUGUUAUUAGGGAAGAACAUAUGUGUAAGUAACUGUGCACAUCUUGACGGUACCUAAUCAGAAAGCCACGGCUAACUACGUG
rnacentral:rRNA from 1 species